UCCCUGGUGGCUCAGAUGGUAAAGCGUCUGCCUACAAUGCGGGAGACCCUGGUUCGAUCCCUGGGCUGGGAA
rnacentral:tRNA from 1 species